UACAGAGGGGGCAAGCGUUGUUCGGAAUUACUGGGCGUAAAGGGCGCGUAGGCGGCCUGCUAAGUCGAACGUGAAAUCCCCAGGCUCAACUUGGGAACUGCAUCCGAUACUGGAUGGCUUGAAUCCGGGAGAGGGAUGCAGAAUUCCAGGUGUAGCGGUGAAAUGCGUAGAUAUCUGGAGGAAUACCGGUGGCGAAGGCGGCAUCCUGGACCGGCAUUGACGCUGAUGAGCGAAAGCUAGGGGAGCAAACGGG
rnacentral:rRNA from 1 species